rnacentral:rRNA from 1 species
UACAGAGACUGCAAGCGUUAUUCGGAUUUACUGGGCGUAAAGGGUGCGCAGGCGGCUAAGUGUGUCAGGUGUGAAAUCCCGAGGCUCAACCUCGGAACUGCGCCUGAAACUACUUGGCUAGAGUAUUGGAGAGGGUAACGGAAUUCACGGUGUAGCAGUGAAAUGCGUAGAUAUCAGUAGGAACACCAAUGGCGAAGGCAGCUUGCUGGCAUGUAUCUGACGCUAAGGCACGAAAGCGUGGGGAGCGAACAGG